rnacentral:tRNA from 1 species
UGUGUUGUAGCUCAGUGAUAGAGUGAUUGCCUUACAUGCAUGACGCACUGGGUUUGAUCCUCAGCACCACAU